GCAGAAUCACCUCCCUGGACCUGCUGGUCACGCUUCUCUUAAUGCAAACCAGUUUCAUUUUCUUCUUGUUGAAAAUGGCAUUAGUUUUCUUUCAAUACAAACAUUUUUCAAAAUGUUAUUUUUUCUAAAGUAAAUCACUCCCUAUGCUCAGUCUGGGGUGUAGUUUCAACUCUUAAAACUGGCAUUCCCUUGUACCUUGAUGACAGAUUUCUUAUCCUCGUUAAACCUGAGCCCCAAACUCAGACGAAAGUGAAAGGAGGUGUGAGGAGUGCAGCAAAGUCAGAGAGAGCACAGUGUGACGUAUGUAAUCCUUAUCCUUCAUACAUCAUUUGGAGCUUUUAUCACAACCUUGUGGCAACUCCUGCUUUCCAUGCUACCUGUGUCCUGAAGAGCAGAUACAAUCCCAAAAGAAAAUCUGAAGGCAGACAGUGUGCACACUGAGCAAUGGUAGAAAUGGAAAUUCAAGAAAGCUUUCAGGGAGCAGGCAGAAACAUAUUCAGAGAUCACAGAACAUGAACAGAAUACGACUGCAUUCUGUGAUCUAAUCUCAACAAAGAAUGAAGGGAAAAAGUAUGAAUCUUCAUAGCAACUUUGAGUGAAUCCUGAGCUGUGCUUCUAAUGAAAACAGAAUCAAGAGAGUACACUGCCUGAAGACAGGUCAGAAAUGGGAGAAACUACUCUGAAGUAAGAGAAUUAGUUUGCUGCAAUUUUUUUUUAGUUACCUUAGUGCAACCCUGUUUUAAACAAGAAAAGAGAGACAUUUUAAAAGGCAAACCAGCAGUCAGUGAAGGGAUGGGCUCAGUCUCUUGCAGCUUAGCUCGGAUAACAACAGCUGCUGAAUUUGUGGGGAAUUUGGUUUGGAAAAUGUGGGCCCAUGUAAUUGUGACUAACAGUAGGGAGGGUAAGAGUGGAAUGAGCUCACAAAUACAUUGUUAUGAGAAGUGUUGCAUUGUCUCUUUUGAAAAUAAUCAAUUUACAUUCACCCUCAUUUAGAACCUGAGACACAAAAAUAUGAAUACAAAAUGCAAUAUAAAAUUUAACCAAGCCUUGUAGUACUAUAAAAUCCCUUUCCCCACCUGCCCUGGCUCUACAUGCAACUUCCUCACAGGAGGAUGGUGUGCUUCAGUACUCCAUUCUGCAUGAAUUUCAAAAACACUUCUACCUAAAACUUCAUCCCUAUACUGCUCUCACACAUUAUCCCUACACUGUUCUUAUAUGCAGCCUUGGGCUCCCACCAUCAGCCCCUCACCGCCAUCUUUCAUCAGCUCCUCCACAGAGCAUUGCUUUUUGCAUCCUGUCCCCACCACGUUGCAUAAGGUCCUCAAAGUGACGGUGUUUGCUGAGUGUCACAACAUGGGGCAGAUACGUGGCAGCUCAUCCUCCUCAAUGAAGCAGGAAACACCGUGACUUUUACCAACACCUCCGACAAUGUGCCACUUGGAAGAAAAGAUCGCACUUGUGACCCAGUUUUGCAAAGUAACAUUCUUGAAAAACUUGAUAAAAAUAGAAAGCCUUACAGGUAAUUCAUUUUCCAUUUAUGUUUUAAAUUUGUUUCCCUGAAAAUUUAUUUUAAAAGUUUAAAAAAAAAGAGAGGGAAGGAAACACCCCACACACAUUCUAAUAUUUGGCCAUGAGGAAGAUAACUAAUAAGACUGAAGCACAUUAUAUUUCAUGCUAUAUUUUAUACUAAAAUAUUUUAUAAAAACAACUCUCCAAAGUGACAACAACGAAGAAAGAAAAAAAAGAAUUGCAGUAAACUGCCUCUGCCAAAUUUUAGGGAGCAAUCAAAGCAAGCAUGCCAGGAUCAGUCCCUCAAGUGCUUGAACGCAACCAAUGCUUUUUAUUGUCAUAUGAAUAGCCAUGAAUAGAGAAUGAGAAGAAACGUCCAUCUGAGGGCCAGAAAAGAAUGAACAUGUGCCGACCUAAAUACAAAAUUACUGAAGGCAUGCACAUAGUCUGGAAAUAUCAGAGCCUUCAGCAAAAUGCUUGUGGUUGUAAAACUAUCUGCAGGACUGAAAGCUUGCAAUGCCUGUAAAGUUGUGGUGUAACAAACCACAUUCAUCAGGCAACCGGCUCUGAUGAACACUUUUUCUCUCAUUUACCACAACUGAUUAUCUCUGAAAUUUGCAAUUUGACACAAGAGGUGGGCUUUGUCCUCACUCCCAGAGCUCUUCACCCAUUUUACAUCAGAUUGUCUGUGGAUAAAUGCAAAAUCAACUUGGGGAACAGUAAGUCCUGGUUCCCUCCUAGCAAAGACACUGUGGGAUGGAGCUCCAUCUCUCUUGGUCGCAGCAGGGACCAAAGAUUCCCUUCCCAGAUUGUUCAUCAUCAUUCUGGAAAAAAGGAGAAUUGAGACCUGCUGUCCCACUUCCUGAAAGACUGUGCUGGUUGCCAGGCUGUUGUGCAAAGCUGGACAGUACCAAGCUGCUGGUGGUUUCAGACAUGAGUGAUCUCACCUGCUGGACUUUGUGUUUUGAUGCUGUCACUACUCGUCACUCUGCCUGGAACAUGACUAAUGCUGCUGGCCGCUCUGCUGCCUGGAGAAUGUCUCUGCAGCCUAGAGCUUCUCAUUGUUUUAGCUUAACCUCCAAACUGAGCAUAAAAGUGCAUAAUUAAGUCCAUACAGUCCACAUAUAUCUUGGCUACAUUUCAGAAAGCAAUCUUUCAGGCAGUGUUCUUUUUGCUUGGAGGAGAACUCUUUCAUAUUCCUUUGGUGAGGCAGUACUUACGCUACCAGUCAUGCAAAUGGGGAGUGGUCAAAUGCAGUCACCAAAGGUAAGAAGAGCACAAGGUGCAGAACUGUAUAAAUCAAAACAAAUCUUGACAAGAUUUCAGUGUGCAAAACUGUUCUAAGUUCUCCUAAGGUGGAGCAGUAACUGCUGUUUAAUAGCACUGUCAUUAAAUAGUGAAAGAUUUCUUUUUAGGAUGACGCUUAUAGACAAAUGAGACAGAAAAUACAUCUGCAGAAAAACUGCCCCUUCCAGCUGGAAUCCUGUAGAUCUCCAUGAUCACUAUCUGAGCACACACCUGGGCAUACAGCAUCCAAGCUAGAACCACAGCUGUUCUGAGCAAGUGGCCUUGGCACAGGCGCCAGGCGUGCAGCACAGUGGUGCAGACCUGAGAUGGCCCGGCCUGCAGAGGCCAUUGCAGCGGUACCAGAGAGCUGAUCUGUGUGCCUGCGGUGGCUGUUUGCAGGUGAUGCCUAAAGAUCUGGAAUCAGCCCAAAUUAAACACGGGGAGGAAAAACGACAAUAACAACAGAAAAACAACAUCGAGAAGUGGUGAAACAGGGAAUAUUCACCUUUUACAACCAAGUAAAAGAAGAGAGCCUGACUGCUUUCAAAACACCAUGGAGCCCUCGGUUAUAGCACAGCCCUUGUUACAGCAAACCCCAAUUUAUGCUUUUAAUAAUACGCAUAAAGAGUUCCUAUUGCAUGGAUUGGAACACAGCUUCACUCCCAUCCCAUAAAUGUCCUGAACAGUGUGCAAAAGCAGGGCCAGUACAGGACUCCUUGCUAGUGUCUGCAGCAUCAUCACAUCCAGGUCUGACCUCCAGCUCUUUGCUAGAACUACCCUCAUAUUUACUAUUUGUCUCAGGCUGAACUAAGAGGUUUUGCCCAAACCAAAGAUGUUUUAAGCAUCUGAGCUCCAAAUUAUUUGGUCUGGGAUCAGUCCACAACAGGGAGUCAUUUUUUUUAAUCUGGUCACUGAAUCAAAAUAUCACUUUGUACAAUUGCCAAUUCCUCAGCCACACACAGGCACUAACAGGGUACAGAGGUUACUUACAUAACCUUCUUACAUCUUCAAUCUUUUUAAAAUGAAACAGUAUUUAUGUUAAGUUAAAUGUGCAGAUGCAUGGGACAAGGGGAAAAAUUUGGAUACGGUUAUCUAAAAUAUCCAAAAUCUUUGAAUCUCAAACACAUGGAUUUGGGAAUGGCCAAUAACAUACCAAUAAUUAGAAUAACAGAAAUUCUACGAUAGCAGAACUCUGGGGAAAAGCAUUUGGUUUUACACUGUUACAUUCAGUGUAUAUUGAGGUAAAACAUGCAUAAACAAAGUUGUAAUACUGUCUUUACACAGCACUACAUUCAUUUUCUACAAUCUAGGGUAAAGGUAAACAUUCUAGUUUACUGUACUAGAGGAAAAGUCACAAUCUUAUUUCAUGUUUGUAUUUUGAUAGCCUUUGUACUAUAUUUAUAGCUGACAUAACGUGAUGCUGUUUUUUCUUAUCAGCAGAAUGCACUGAGAAAAGGAAGAAAACCUCUGCUAGCCUCUGCCUCAGAAAAUAUUUUCUUUGUGUUUCAAGUUUUCCUGUAGAAAGGGAAGAUUGUCUGUAGCUACGCUGUAACAUUUCAGAAACAGAGGUCAUAAUUUAGAAUAAAGGAAAGUGCUAUUAGUCAUGCAGUAAGGUGACCCAUGUGUCCCUGCCAGACCCCUGCAGCACAACCGAUGACUUACCAGUGGCUACUCCCCACAGCCGCUCUUCUUGGAAUUGCAACAUCUGAUAUGUAAAACCCAUUCCUUCCUCACCAAUUAGGUUUUUGCUAGGGACUCUUACGUCUUCAAAAAAGAUCUGAGCUGUGUCCGAUGACCUCAUGCCCAGUUUGUCUAUUUUCUUAGUAACGUGAAUGCCUGAAGAAAAAAAAUAAAAGAGUAUUAGAAAGGCUACAAGAAAGAUAAAGCCAGAUGUAUAAAAAUAGUGUUUUUAAAAAGUGAAGUUCAGCAAGGAUAUAGCAAAACCUAUCUCUGGGAAAACAUUAUAGUAUUCUGGGAGGCAAAAAUAAAAUAGAUCACAUCCCAUUUCUAAGAGUUUUCUCGAUGUUAUUUGACUAGAAAAAUCAGAAAUCGCAACCUUAAGGAUCUUUUAAUUAUAUCCCCAAAUAAUAAUCAUUUACCAGUAGUAAUAAUCUCACUUCAGGCACAUCUUCAAAUCGUGCAUGAAGUGCUUUAUUUAUCUGUUAUGUUUGAUUUUUUGUGCACUGCAAUAAAGUGUUCAAAUUCAA